AAUGAUAUCAUGAACUACUUACUAUUGUUCGAGCAGACAAAUGAAGCUUUAUGUGCUGUUGUCAAUGCAGAAUAACGGAGUCUUCGACAUUGCAGGAAACCCAAAUUAUUCCCCUUGUCAUUCCUCUCUUUGCAUGCCCUAGUAUAUUAGCAAUUAAUGUGCAGUCAAGGAACUGCUAACAUCUAGAAUGUGAUGGCCACAGGACUGUAUUUGACUGGGUUCUUGAUCUAUUUGUCUGUAGGGCACUGACUUUGAAGACGAGGAUGAUGAUCAAGCUGAUGAAGAUGACAGCUAAAUUUAUAAUUCAUUGUUGUCUUGUAUUUUUGGCUUCUUAGCAUGUUUCUCUGGCUCAAGUGAAGUAGCAUUUCAGUAGGGCUAGAAUGUG
rnacentral:lncRNA from 1 species